rnacentral:rRNA from 1 species
CGGCGGACGGGUGAGUAACACGUGGAUAACCUACCUAUAAGACUGGGAUAACUCCGGGAAACCGGAGCUAAUACCGGAUAAUAUUUUGAACCGCAUGGUUCAAAAGUGAAAGACGGUCUUGCUGUCACUUAUAGAUGGAUCCGCGCUGCAUUAGCUAGUUGGUAAGGUAACGGCUUACCAAGGCAACGAUGCAUAGCCGACCUGAGAGGGUGAUCGGCCACACUGGAACUGAGACACGGUCCAG